ACAGAGGACCUGGUGUUAGCAGCAGGAAAGGCAGGAGGUGCAGGUGGGCGGCAGGAAAGCAGUCGCGCUGGCGGCUUGGUGGGCAUUGACCUCCCAGGCGGUCUUGGCUUAAACGGAGGUGAGCAGCUCAGCAGCGCCACGAAUCCAUGCGCGUUCGCGCUGCUUGAAAGGCGACUGUGCAUCAGGGGCAGCGAAUGGCAACUAGUGACGUCAUUUGGGCAUCCUGGAGCGGAGAAGCUUACAACAAGCGGCGGGUUGAUGCAAGUCAUAGUGAACCAAGCCGAGCACACAGCCUGUUCCAAGUGGGGCGGUAAUUCACCGGAUGGCUCGGCACGUUCCCAAAGCUGCAGCGUGUCCAGGAUGGUGUUCGGUGCUUCAGUGCUUUGGUGAUGCGGUGAGCGUUCUGGCUGUCGAGGAAGCCGCCGCUCAUUCGGCUUGAGAAGCGGGACCCGCAGCUGCAGUAGCUGGUCGCCCUCACGUGCAGCGGCCUCGAUGAAGG
rnacentral:misc_RNA from 1 species